rnacentral:rRNA from 1 species
GACAGAGGUGCCAAGCGUUAGGCGGAAUCACUGGGCGUAAAGGGCGCGUAGGCGGCUUGAUAAGCGUGCGGUGAAAGCCCGGGGCUCAACCCCGGGUCGGCCGUGCGAACUGUCGAGCUGGAGCACUGUAGAGGCAGGUGGAAUUCCGGGUGUAGCGGUGGAAUGCGUAGAGAUCCGGAAGAACACCGGUGGCGAAGGCGGCCUGCUGGGCAGUGGCUGACGCUGAGGCGCGACAGCGUGGGGAGCAAACAGG